GACGAACGCUGGCGGCGUGCUUAACACAUGCAAGUCGAACGAUGAAGCUAGAGCUUGCUCUGGUGGAUUAGUGGCGAACGGGUGAGUAACACGUGAGUAACCUGCCCCGAACUCUGGGAUAACUGCUGGAAACGGUAGCUAAUACCGGAUAUGACCAAUGAAGGCAUCUUCUGUUGGUGGAAAGAAUUUCGGUUCGGGAUGGACUCGCGGCCUAUCAGCUUGUUGGAGAGGUAACGGCUCACCAAGGCGACGACGGGUAGCCGGCCUGAGAGGGUGACCGGCCACACUGGGACUGAGAUACGGCCCAGACUCCUACGGGAGGCAGCAGUGGGGAAUAUUGCACAAUGGGCGCAAGCCUGAUGCAGCGACGCCGCGUGAGGGAUGACGGCCUUCGGGUUGUAAACCUCUUUCAGCAUCGACGAAGCGAAAGUGACGGUAGGUGCAGAAGAAGGACCGGCCAACUACGUGCCAGCCGCCGCAGUAA
rnacentral:rRNA from 1 species